rnacentral:rRNA from 1 species
ACGAACGCUGGCGGCGUGCCUAAUACAUGCAAGUCGAACGGCUUUUCUAUGGAAGCUUGCUUCCACUGAGAAGAUAGUGGCGAACGGGUGAGUAACACGUGGGUAACCUGCCCAUAAGAGGGGGGAUAACAUCCGGAAACGGGUGCUAAUACCGCAUAGUUUUCUUGAUCGCAUGAUUGAGAAAGGAAAGACGGCCUUUGUGCUGUCGCUUAUGGAUGGACCCGCGGCGUAUUAGUUAGUUGGUGAGGUAACGGCUCACCAAGACGAUGAUACGUAGCCGACCUGAGAGGGUGAUCGGCCACAUUGGGACUGAGACACGGCCCAAACUCCUACGGGAGGCAGCAGUAGGGAAUCUUCCGCAAUGGACGAAAGUCUGACGGAGCAACGCCGCGUGAGUGAAGAAGGUUUUUCCGGAUCGUAAAACUCUGUUGUCAGAGAAGAACAAGUUGGAGAGUAACUGCUCCAGCCUUGACGGUAUCUGACCAGAAAGCCACGGCUAACUACGUGCCAGCAGCCGC